rnacentral:rRNA from 1 species
AGGACGAACGCUGGCGGCGUGCUUAACACAUGCAAGUCGAACGGAAAGGCCCUUCGGGGUACUCGAGUGGCGAACGGGUGAGUAACACGUGGGUGAUCUGCCCUGCACUUUGGGAUAAGCCUGGGAAACUGGGUCUAAUACCGAAUAGGACCACGGCAUGCAUGUGCUGUGGUGGAAAGCUUUUGCGGUGUGGGAUGGGCCCGCGGCCUAUCAGCUUGUUGGUGGGGUGAUGGCCUACCAAGGCGACGACGGGUAGCCGGCCUGAGAGGGUGUCCGGCCACACUGGGACUGAGAUACGGCCCAGACUCCUACGGGAGGCAGCAGUGGGGAAUAUUGCACAAUGGGCGCAAGCCUGAUGCAGCGACGCCGCGUGGGGGAUGACGGCCUUCGGGUUGUAACCCCUUUCAGUAGGGACGAAGCGCAAGUGACGGUACCUACAGAAGAAGCACCGGCCAACUACGCGCCAGCAGCCGCGGUA